rnacentral:rRNA from 1 species
GACGAACGCUGGCGGCGUGCUUAACACAUGCAAGUCGAACGGAAAGGCCCUGCUUGCAGGGUGCUCGAGUGGCGAACGGGUGAGUAACACGUGGGUGAUCUGCCCCUUACUUUGGGAUAAGCCUGGGAAACUGGGUCUAAAACUGGAUAGGACCAUGCUGUAGGUGGUGUGGUGGAAAGAUUAGUUUCGGUAAGGGAUGAGCUCGCGGCCUAUCAGCUUGUUGGUGGGGUAAUGGCCUACCAAGGCGUCGACGGGUAGCCGGCCUGAGAGGGUGGACGGCCACAUUGGGACUGAGAUACGGCCCAGACUCCUACGGGAGGCAGCAGUGGGGAAUAUUGCACAAUGGGCGCAAGCCUGAUGCAGCGACGCCGCGUGGGGGAUGACGGCCUUCGGGUUGUAAACUCCUUUCAGCCAUGACGAAGCCCUUGUGGUGACGGUAGUGGUAGAAGAAGCACCGGCUAACUACGUG